AUUGAACGCUGGCGGCAGGCCUAACACAUGCAAGUCGAACGGUAGCACAGAGAGCUUGCUCUCGGGUGACGAGUGGCGGACGGGUGAGUAACGUCUGGGAAACUGCCCGAUGGAGGGGGAUAACUACUGGAAACGGUAGCUAAUACCGCAUAACUUCGCAAGACCAAAGUGGGGGACCUUCGGGCCUCACACCAGCGGAUUUGCCCAGAUGGGAUUAGCUAGUAGGUGGGGUAAUGGCUCACCUAGGCGACGAUCCCUAGCUGGUCUGAGGGGAUGACCAGCCACACUGGAACUGAGACACGGUCCAGACUCCUACGGGAGGCAGCAGUGGGGAAUAUUGCACAAUGGGCGCAAGCCUGAUGCAGCCAUGCCGCGUGUAUGAAGAAGGCCUUCGGGUUGUAAAAUACUUUCAGCGGGGAGGAAGGCGGUGAAGUUAAUAGCUUCACCGAUUGACGUUACCCGCAGAAGAAGCACCGGCUAACUCCGUGCCAGCCGCCGCGGUAA
rnacentral:rRNA from 1 species